GCCUGUGCAAGACAGGAAUAGUACAUGGAGUAGCAGAACCUGAGGCCUGCCAAAGAGUACAGUGGGCUGCAGUGGCCUGCAGGGGAAAGUAUGUCAGUGUGGUGACAUCACAGGUCAAUGCUCCUAUCAGGAAGAAGGGAGCUUAGGAACUGCAGAAUGCUUACUACAGAGACACCAGCCCCAAGCUAGGAGAUCCUGCCAUGGGCUUCAGGCUCCUCUGCUGUGUGGCCUUUUGUCUCCUGGGAGCAGGCCCAGUGGAUUUUGGAGUCACACAAACCCCAAAGCACCUGAUCACAGCAACUGGACAGCAAGUGACGCUGAGAUGCUCCCCUAGGUCUGGAGACCUCUCUGUGUACUGGUACCAACAGAGCCUGGACCAGGGCCUCCAGUUCCUCAUUCAGUAUUAUAAUGGAGAAGAGAGCGCAAAAGGAAACAUUCUUGAACGAUUCUCCGCACAACAGUUCCCUGACUUGCACUCUGAACUAAACCUGAGCUCUCUGGAGCUGGGGGACUCAGCUUUGUAUUUCUGUGCCAGCAGCGUAGCACAGCCCUGCAUGAGCAUCAGCCUUCUGUGCAAUAACAUUCCUGCCCCACUCAGGAAGUGACGGUGAGGGGAGGGCUGCCAGCCAGAGGGGCUCAGGCCCUGGAGAGUGGACAGGCCUUU